AACAAAACUACAGCAAGACACAGAAAGGUGUGAGCUCUGGAACUACACAGUUCAUCCAUUCUCCAUGCAGUCUUUCAUUUUGAAAGGAGACACCUUCUAUAGAAGAUAUUUAUUUACUCCCCACAAGAGAUGAAAGAAAUCCUGUAGUAUAUGGAGUCUUUACUACAACCAGCUCCAUCUUCAAAGGCUCUGCUGUUUGUGUGUAUAGCAUGGCUGACAUCAGAGCAGUUUUUAAUGGUCCAUAUGCUCAUAAGGAAAGUGCAGACCAUCGUUGGGUGCAGUAUGAUGGGAGAAUUCCUUAUCCACGGCCUGGUACAUGUCCAAGCAAAACCUAUGACCCACUGAUUAAAUCCACCCGAGAUUUUCCAGAUGAUGUCAUCAGUUUCAUAAAGCGGCACUCUGUGAUGUAUAAGUCCGUAUACCCAGUUGCAGGAGGACCAACGUUCAAGAGAAUCAAUGUGGAUUACAGACUGACACAGAUAGUGGUGGAUCAUGUCAUUGCAGAAGAUGGCCAGUACGAUGUAAUGUUUCUUGGAACAGACAUUGGAACUGUCCUCAAAGUUGUCAGCAUUUCAAAGGAAAAGUGGAAUAUGGAAGAGGUAGUGCUGGAGGAGUUGCAGAUAUUCAAGCACUCAUCAAUCAUCUUGAACAUGGAAUUGUCUCUGAAGCAGCAACAAUUGUACAUUGGUUCCCGAGAUGGAUUGGUUCAGCUCUCCUUGCACAGAUGCGACACUUAUGGGAAAGCUUGCGCAGACUGUUGUCUUGCCAGAGACCCCUACUGUGCCUGGGAUGGAAAUGCAUGCUCUCGAUAUGCUCCUACUUCUAAAAGGAGAGCUAGACGCCAAGAUGUAAAAUAUGGCGACCCAAUCACCCAGUGCUGGGACAUCGAAGACAGCAUUAGUCAUGAAACUGCUGAUGAAAAGGUGAUUUUUGGCAUUGAAUUUAACUCAACCUUUCUGGAAUGUAUACCUAAAUCCCAACAAGCAACUAUUAAAUGGUAUAUCCAGAGGUCAGGGGAUGAGCAUCGAGAGGAGUUGAAGCCCGAUGAAAGAAUCAUCAAAACGGAAUAUGGGCUACUGAUUCGAAGUUUGCAGAAGAAGGAUUCUGGGAUGUAUUACUGCAAAGCACAGGAGCACACUUUCAUCCACACCAUAGUGAAGCUGACUUUGAACGUCAUUGAGAAUGAACAGAUGGAAAAUACCCAGAGGGCAGAGCAUGAGGAGGGGCAGGUCAAGGAUCUAUUGGCUGAGUCACGGUUGAGAUACAAAGACUACAUCCAAAUCCUUAGCAGCCCAAACUUCAGCCUCGACCAGUACUGCGAACAGAUGUGGCACAGGGAGAAGCGGAGACAGAGAAACAAGGGGGGCCCAAAGUGGAAGCACAUGCAGGAAAUGAAGAAGAAACGAAAUCGAAGACAUCACAGAGACCUGGAUGAGCUCCCUAGAGCUGUGGCCACGUAGUUUUCUACUUAAUUUAAAGAAAAGAAUUCCUUACCUAUAAAAA
rnacentral:sRNA from 1 species